AUACUUACCUGGAUGGGGUGAAUGAGUGAUCAAGAAGGCUCAUGACCUAGUGCAGUGACCUUCAUUGCACAAAGAAGGGAUGUUGUUCUAAGGUCUACCCUAGUGGUGGAGCCUACAUCAUAAUUUGUGGAAGCAGAGGGGGCUUGCGUCCGCGCAGUCUCUAU